GAGUUUGAUCCUGGCUCAGAUUGAACGCUGGCGGCAUGCCUUACACAUGCAAGUCGAACGGCAGCACGGGAGCUUGCUCCUGGUGGGCGAGUGGCGAACGGGUGAGUAAUGCAUCGGAACGUAUCCUGGAGUGGGGAUAACGUAGCGAAAGUUACGCUAAUACCGCAUAUUCUGUGAGCAGGAAGCGGGGGACCUUCGGGCCUCGCGCUCUUGGAGCGGCCGAUGUCGGAUUAGCUAGUUGGUG
rnacentral:rRNA from 1 species